UACAGAGGGUGCGAGCGUUGUCCGGAAUCACUGGGCGUAAAGGGUGCGUAGGCGGGUCUUUAAGUCAGGGGUGAAAUCCUGGAGCUCAACUCCAGAACUGCCUUUGAUACUGAAGAUCUUGAGUUCGGGAGAGGUGAGUGGAACUGCGAGUGUAGAGGUGAAAUUCGUAGAUAUUCGCAAGAACACCAGUGGCGAAGGCGGCAUCCUGGACCAACACUGACGCUGAGGAGCGAAAGCCAGGGGAGCAAACGGG
rnacentral:rRNA from 1 species